GGAUCAUUAAAGAAUGGCCCGUUUUUUGAAAUGGGUUCUAUUCCCCAAACCGUGUAUACAUACCUUUAUUGCUUUGGCAGGCCGCCUUCGGGCGUCGGCUCACGCUGACCGCGCCUGCCAGAGGACCCAAACUCGUUUGUUUAGUGAUGUCUGAGUACUAUAUAAUAGUUAAAACUUUCAACAACGGAUCUCUUGGUUCUGGCAUCGAUGAAGAACGCAGCGAAAUGCGAUAAGUAAUGUGAAUUGCAGAAUUCAGUGAAUCAUCGAAUCUUUGAACGCACAUUGCGCCCCUUGGUAUUCCGAGGGGCAUGCCUGUUCGAGCGUCAUUAUAACCACUCAAGCCUAGCUUGGCAUUGGGGUUCGCGGUCUCGCGGCCCUUAAAAUCAGUGGCGGUGCCAUCUGGCUCUAAGCGUAGUAAUUUAUCUCGCUAUUGGGUCCGGUGGUUGCUUGCCAACAACCCCUAACUUCUAAGGUUGACCUCGGAUCAGGUAGGGAUACCCGCUGAACUUAAGCAUAUCAAUAAGCGGAGGAAAAGAAACCAACAGGGAUUGCCUCAGUAACGGCGAGUGAAGCGGCAACAGCUCAAAUUUGAAAUCUGGCUCUUUUGGGGUCCGAGUUGUAAUUUGUAGAAGAUGCUUUGGGUGUAGCUCCGGUCUAAGUUCCUUGGAACAGGACGUCAUAGAGGGUGAGAAUCCCGUAUGUGACUGGGUUGCUUUCGCUCGUGUAAAGCUCUUUCGACGAGUCGAGUUGUUUGGGAAUGCAGCUCAAAAUGGGUGGUAAAUUUCAUCUAAAGCUAAAUAUUGGCCAGAGACCGAUAGCGCACAAGUAGAGUGAUCGAAAGAUGAAAAGCACUUUGGAAAGAGAGUUAAACAGUACGUGAAAUUGUUGAAAGGGAAGCGCUUGCAACCAGACUUGCGCGCUGCUGAUCAUCCGAGCUUUUGCCCGGUGCACUCGGCAGCGUUCAGGCCAGCAUCGGUUUUGGUGGGCGGAUAAAGGCCUUGGGAAUGUAGCUUCUUUCGGGGAGUGUUAUAGCCCUCGGUGCAAUGCGCCCUACCGGGACCGAGGACCGCGCUUCGGCUAGGA
rnacentral:rRNA from 1 species